AUAUAAUAACAUAAAGCAAAUAGAACGAGAUGUAAAUGAUAUCUAUGUAAGU
rnacentral:guide_RNA from 1 species